rnacentral:rRNA from 1 species
ACGGGACCCGCACAAGCGGUGGAUGAUGUGGUUUAAUUCGAUGCAACGCGAAAACCUUACCCACCUUUGACAUGUACGGAAUCCUUUAGAGAUAGAGGAGUGCUCGAAAGAGAGCCGUAACACAGGUGCUGCAUGGCUGUCGUCAGCUCGUGUCGUGAGAUGUUGGGUUAAGUCCCGCAACGAGCGCAACCCUUGUCAUUAGUUGCUACGAAAGGGCACUCUAAUGAGACUGCCGGUGACAAACCGGAGGAAGGUGGGGAUGACGUCAAGUCCUCAUGGCCCUUAUAGGUGGGGCUACACACGUCAUACAAUGGCUGGUACAAAGGGUUGCCAACCCGCGAGGGGGAGCCAAUCCCAUAAAGCCAGUCGUGUCCGGAUCGCAGUCUGCAACUCGACUGCGUGAAGUCGGAAUCGCUAGUAAUCGUGGAUCAGCAUGUCACGGUGAAUACGUUCCCGGGUCUU